CUUAUCAAGAGUGGUUGAGGGACGGGCCCUGUGAAACCCGGCAACCUGCAGCGAUGCAAGGUGCCAAUUCCCGCGGCAAUAGCCGAAAGAUGAG
rnacentral:ncRNA from 1 species